UGUGGGAGCGAGCUUGCUCGCGAUGGCGGUGUUUCAGUCGACUUGAAUGCGGCUGAUCCACUGCUAUCGCGAGCAAGCUCGCUCCCACA
rnacentral:misc_RNA from 2 species